rnacentral:rRNA from 1 species
UACGUAGGGGGCAAGCGUUGUCCGGAAUCAUUGGGCGUAAAGAGCGCGUAGGCGGGAUGGCAAGUCGGUCGUGAAAUCCCUCGGCUCAACCGAGGAACGUCGAUCGAUACUGCUGUUCUUGAGGAUUGCAGAGGAGACUGGAAUUCCCGGUGUAGCGGUGAAAUGUGUAGAGAUCGGGAGGAACACCGGUGGCGAAGGCGGGUCUCUGGGCAAUUCCUGACGCUGAGGCGCGAAAGCGUGGGGAGCAAACGGG